rnacentral:snoRNA from 1 species
UCCCUAAUGAUGCUGGACUCAGCCUGAGCCUGAGCUUAAACUGUUGCUCUUGAGAUCUGGGAUGUGAGGGG